rnacentral:lncRNA from 1 species
GGCGAGCUACAGUAGAUCAUCUAAAAUCGAGAUCGUGGAGAUUGUAGAGUGCGUGUUGGUUUCACACGAUCUGGAAUAGAUCGGUCGAGGAUGAUCUAAAAUAGAUUGUCGAAGGUCGAAAAGUCAAAAAUCACUGCUGAUGGGGCAUAUUCGUUGACCUUCAUCUCUGUCGUGUAUCUGUAUCUGAUGAGCGCUCAUCUUCCAUAGCUUGGUCGGUGCCGAAGAUGUUACAGCCGA